AUUCGCGGCCUAUCAGCUUGUUGGUGAGGUAACGGCCCACCAAGGCUAUGACGGGUAGCCGACCUGAGAGGGUCAUCGGCCGCACUGGGACUGAGACACUGCCCAGACUCCUACGGGAGGCAGCAGAGGAGGAUCAUUCGCAAUGGGCGAAAGCCUGACGGUGCGACGCCGCGUGAGGGAUGAAGGCCUUUGGGUUGUAAACCUCUGUCGGGAGUUAGGAACGGCGAGGGCGCUAAUAUCGCUUUCGAUUGACCAACUCCGAAGGAAGCUCCGGCUAACUACGUGCCAGCAGCCGCGGUAAUACGUAGGGAGCGAGCGUUACUCGGAAUCACUGGGCAUAAAGGGCGUGUAGGCGGGUGCGUAAGUCCGGUGUGAAAGCCCUCGGCUCAACCGGGGAAUGCCAUUGGAUACUGCGUGUCUUGAGUGCGGGAGGGGAGAGUGGAACUCUUGGUGGAGCGGUGAAAUGCGUAGAUAUCAAGAGGAACGCCGGUGGCGAAAGCGACUCUCUGGCCCGUUACUGACGCUGAGGCGCGAAAGCCAGGGGAGCGAACGGGAUUAGAUACCCCGGUAGUCCUGGCCCUAAACGAUGGGUACUGGGUAGUGGCGGUUCUGAUGCCGUCUCUGCCGUAGCUAAUGUGAUAAGUACCCCGCCUGGGGAGUACGGAAU
rnacentral:rRNA from 1 species